UAGGGGAGCCGUAGGGAAACCGAGUCUUAAUAGGGCGUUAAGUCUGUAGGAGUAGACCCGAAACCGAGCGAUCUAGCCAUGAGCAGGUUGAAGGUUGAGUAACAUCAACUGGAGGACCGAACCCACUCCCGUUGAAAAGGUAGGGGAUGACCUGUGGAUCGGAGUGAAAGGCUAAUCAAGCUCGGAGAUAGCUGGUUCUCCUCGAAAGCUAUUUAGGUAGCGCCUCAUGUAUCACUGUAGGGGGUAGAGCACUGUUUCGGCUAGGGGGUCAUCCCGACUUACCAAACCGAUGCAAACUCCGAAUACCUACAAGUGCCGAGCAUGGGAGACACACGGCGGGUGCUAACGUCCGUCGUGAAAAGGGAAACAACCCAGACCGUCAGCUAAGGUCCCAAAGUUAUGGUUAAGUGGGAAACGAUGUGGGAAGGCUUAGACAGCUAGGAGGUUGGCUUAGAAGCAGCCACCCUUUAAAGAAAGCGUAAUAGCUCACUAGUCGAGUCGGCCUGCGCGGAAGAUGUAACGGGGCUCA
rnacentral:ncRNA from 1 species